UACAGAGGUCCCAAGCGUUGUUCGGAAUCAUUGGGCGUAAAGGGUGUGUAGGCGGCGCCGUAAGUCGGGUGUGAAAUCUCGGGGCUUAACUCCGAAACUGCAUUCGAUACUGCGGUGCUUGAGGACUGGAGAGGAGACUGGAAUUCAUGGUGUAGCAGUGAAAUGCGUAGAGAUCAUGAGGAAGACCAGUGGCGAAGGCGGCUCUCUGGACAGUUCCUGACACUGAGACACGAAGGCCAGGGGAGCAAACGGG
rnacentral:rRNA from 1 species